CGCUUAACUUCGAACUCGGGUAUAGGUAACGUCAUUUGGCUAACAACAUGCGCGUGGGUUUGUUGCUGUGUCUUCUUGUCGCGCUUGCGCAGGCCUCUUAUCGACCUCCCAAGGAUAAAAAACCUUGGGGCCUGAUGAUUCCUCCAGAAACAUUUGAGACAACACUUGAGGAUUGUGAGAAGCAACUCCAAAAAGU